rnacentral:hammerhead_ribozyme from 1 species
AUCCAGUUGACGAGCCCCAAAUAGGACGAAACACUUGUCAUAGAU